rnacentral:lncRNA from 1 species
UUGUGCUUAUUUUGUGUUUAUUCCAGUAGAUAAAAUGAAGCGACCCACGUAUUCCACUACACAUUACUCGAUAAACUUCAUUUAUCAAGAAAUAUAUCCAUCAGAGUAGUAUAGCAGAAACAUUAUAAUGGUUGACUAUUACAACACUACAGAUAUAGCUCAAGACAAGUCUCAAAGCUAUAACAGCAGAAUAAUAAAAACACCAAAAGCUUGACCAAAUAUAUAACAGAACACUAAACGAGCACAAGUACUGUUAUACUACCUGAUUUUAACGUCACUGCUACUGGUAGAAAUACUACAGCUACCCUUCCGACUACUAUAACCACUAAUGAUACUAAAGCAGAGAGGGGGNNNNNNNNNNNNNNNGCAGCGCUGCAGCCGGGUCUCCGCGCCGCAGCCGCCGCCCACAGCCUGCGUCGCCCCUCCGCGCCGAGGCCGCCGCCCCUCUGCACCGUGAGACAAGAGAGAGCGAGAGAGAGGAGAGGGUCUGUAUUUUAGUGGGAUAUUUUGGUGAUGUUUAGAUUGAGAAAAUUUUUAGAAGAAGUGUCACGUUAAAUGUUUGAUCGGAUGUUGAAAAGGGUUUUCGAACACGAAUGAAAAAACAAAUUUCACAGCUAGCCUAUAAACCGCGAGACGAAUCUUUUGAACCUAA